rnacentral:rRNA from 1 species
UGCGUAGGCGGACUAAUAAGUCAGUGGUGAAAUCUUUCGGCUCAACCGGGAAACUGCCAUUGAUACUGUAGUCUUGAGUUCGGUUGAGGUAGGCGGAAUGUGUAAUGUAGCGGUGAAAUGCUUAGAUAUUACACAGAACACCAAUUGCGUAGGCAGCUUACUAGACCGACACUGACGCUGAGGCACGAAAGCGUGGGGAGCGAACAGGAUUAGAUACCCUGGUAGUCC